AUUGAACGCUGGCGGCAUGCCUUACACAUGCAAGUCGAACGGCAGCGGGGGAGAAGCUUGCUUUUCCUGCCGGCGAGUGGCGAACGGGUGAGUAAUACAUCGGAACGUGCCCUGUAGUGGGGGAUAACUAGUCGAAAGAUUAGCUAAUACCGCAUACGACCUGAGGGUGAAAGUGGGGGACCGCAAGCCAUCAUGCUAUAGGAGGGGCGGAUGUCUGAUUAGCCAGUUGGUGGGGUAAAGGCCUACCAAGGCGACGAUCAGUAGCUGGUCUGAGAGGACGAUCAGCCACACUGGGACUGAGACACGGCCCAGACUCCUACGGGAGGCAGCAGUGGGGAAUUUUGGACAAUGGGCGAAAGCCUGAUCCAGCAAUGCCGCGUGUGUGAAGAAGGCCUUCGGGUUGUAAAGCACUUUUGUCCGGAAAGAAAUGGCUCUGGUUAAUACCUGGGGUCGAUGACGGUACCGGAAGAAUAAGGACCGGCUAACUACGUGCCAGCCGCCGCGGUAA
rnacentral:rRNA from 1 species